GUGAGGAAUUUUCCGCAAUGGGCGAAAGCCUGACGGAGCAAUGCCGCGUGAAGGAUGAAGGCCUAUGGGUUGUAAACUUCUUUUCUCAGAAAAGAAUUAUGACGGUUUCUGAGGAAUAAGCAUCGGCUAACUCUGUGCCAGCAGCCGCGGUAAGACAGAGGAUGCAAGCGUUAUCCGGAAUGAUUGGGCGUAAAGCGUCUGUAGGUUGUUUAAAAAGUAUUCUGUCAAAGAUUAGGGCUUAACCCUAGAUAGGCAGAAUAAACUUUUAAGCUAGAGUUUGGUAGAGGCAGAGGGAAUUCCCGGUGGAGCGGUGAAAUGCGUAGAUAUCGGGAGGAACACCAAAGGCGAAGGCACUCUGCUGGGCCAAUACUAACACUGAGAGACGAAAGCGAGGGGAGCAAAUGGGAUUAGAUACCCGGGUAGUCC
rnacentral:rRNA from 1 species